CUCUCUUUCUCUCUCUCUCUCUCUCUCCCAGUCCGGCCCAAUCCUUCUCUCUCUCCCCACCUCUCCCAGCCACCACCGCACCGCGCCCCAGCCUCGCAUUCCCGACGCCGCCCAGCACCGCCACCAGCCCGCCCCACCCCGCCAUCGCAGCCCGCCCCUCCACCGUUCCAGGCCGCGGCGCCGCCCCCUCCCCCAACCCUCGAGGCUCUUUCCCCUUCCCCCAACCCUAGCCGCCGCACGCAGCAGCCAUGGCGGACUGCACCUUUAGCGCUGGCAGCCGCCGCUCGUCCAUGAUGUGAAGCCAUCCCUGCCCUGCUCGCCUUCGUCCGCUGCCGUCGCGGACCGUCUCCCCCGUCCCCGACCACACAUCCCCGCCCUCGUCUGCCGCCAUCACCGACCGGCUCCUCCGUCCCCGACAAGUCAUCCCCGUCCUGCUCGCCGUCUUCCGCCGAAGAACCCGGUGGCUGUGUCGACUCUCUGCCUCCCCGACCACCUCUUUCGAUUUUGCGAAGGGGAGGUUGCAUUGCCCGGAGAAAAGGCAGAGGAGGGUGAUGCUGAUGAUGCAGCAACAUCAUUAAGGGAGGCAAAGGAGGAGAUUGGGCUUGAUCCAGCCUCGGUCACUGUCGUUUCCUCGCUUGAGCACUUCUUGCCCAAGUUGUUACAUCGCUGCGAGGGUCUGGUGUUCGACGACCUCCCCGUGCGUUCAACGAGCUCCGCCCCGGCGUUCGUGGUAGCUAGGCCAGAUGAGUGAUCGUGCGUGGAUGUACACCGCUAGUCAGAAAGACAUGACCCAUGAAUGGAUAACAAAAACCAAGGGGUUUGUGAGAGUCGCAUUUGCAAAUGGACAGAGACAAACCUGGUGCCCAUGUGUCGAGUGCGACAACUAUCAUAAGAGGUCAGAGUUUGAAAUGAUCAAACACCUGCAGAAGUGGGGUUUUACGCCUAAUUAUACAGUCUGGACAUUUCAUGGUGAGUCUGCCCAACGUGCCAGAGCUGAGGAGGGCCGUCGUCGCACCGACGAGCAUGGUACCGGGAUGGAAGACAUGGUGGAUCCAACCUGAGCCUAUUCAAAGGGAAGCAUAAUCCAAAGCCUCUGUACAAUGCUGGCGACCCUAAAAAGGGUGCAUAAUCCAAAGACAUGGUGCAUAAUCCAAAGAAAGGGUGCAUAUUCCAAAGACAUGGUGCAUAAUCCGAAGCCUCGGUACAAUGCUGGCGAACCUAAAAAGGGUGGAUCCAACCUCAGCCUAUUCAAAGGGAAGCUCGCACCAGCCGGUGCUUAUACUCCCUUAUUGUUGGAUGUCGACGAAUGGCGGACCAUUACGUUGUAUAUCUUGAACAAUCUAACAGAAGUGCGGCCGUACAUCGAGUCUUGGAAACACGGUCGUGGUGUCCGCAGGCCCAACACAGUCCUUGGUGUGAUUUGUUGCCAGAGCUUCCCGGAUUGGGUCACGUUGCCUGGUGAGGGCCAGGCUCCAGAGCUAGGAAUGACCUGGGAGCACUACUUGGCUGCCCCGGCCCCGCCGGGGGAGAGGAUCGGCGGUGUCGAGUGCCACAUCGUGGCCGACGUUGUGAUCCAGACGUUUUGGACCUUUUACAGGUGUGCUGAGGGACAGGAAGAGGCCGCGGCUCGGGUUAUCGAAGCCGAGUGCAGGCGGCUACUUCAAAACUGGCGGAACGGGGCUCGGACGCAGGCUACUCGAGACUACUUUGUUCCUCUCUUUUAGGCGUGGAACAACAAGACGGAUGUACCAGAGUUGUUCGACCUCUAUGCCAUGGCCCAUAGUGCCUCGUAUAAGAAGGCCAAGGCAUUCUCUGAGUCUAAUCUCGAUGAUCCAAAGAACUUCACCAACCGCGCCUCCCACAACAAGCUACAGAGAUGAGGGGAAGGCGAGGAAAGGGCCGGACUUUAACCUGAGCCAGCCUAUUAUCCAGAGCUGGUGAUGAUAUCUGGUGGCGGGAGGAACCAUGGCUUGUUAGCCAUUGGGGAUGGACUGAUACGUUGUACUAGCACUCUCCGCAGAUCAAGAAGCGCCAGACGAGCUCCGAUCCUGAGAGAAGGCCUCGUCCACGACCAAUGGAUCUUGAAAUCAAGGCUGCUAUUGAGGAAGAGAGAGCAAAUACCCAGGAGCUUCUGGCGGAGGAAAGGAGGCAGGCGGCGGAGAGGGAGAGGGAGACUGAGGAGAGGACAGCUAGGCUUUUGGAAGAGGAGAGGAACCGGAACGACUUAGCUAACCGAGCCAUAUAGGAGCUCUUCGCGUCCAUGUGCGAGAAGACCGGUCAGACCCCUCCGCCGAUGCCAGUCAUUGCUCCGGCGGACACGCAUAACUCCUGACAAGCAUCGACGUCUGCCAUUGGUGCGAGCAAGAACCCCGAUCCUUCACCUACGGGUUGACGUGACAGAGGUGACGUGGCAUCGUUAACGUGGGAUUACUGUAGCAUGAUUACCCGGACAUUACACCUUUCCUCCAUUACAUUAUGUGUGUGGCCGUCGAUGAUUACAAUGCUAAAGAGGAGUGGUGUUGUAGCCUGCUAUUGAGGAAGAGAGAGCAAAGACCCAGGAGCUUCUGGCGGAGGAAAGGGGGCAGGCGGCAGAGUGGGAGAGGGAGACUGAGGAGAGGACAGCUAGGCUUUUGGAGGAGGAGAGGAACCGGAACGACUUGGCUAACCAUGCCAUAUACGAGCUCUUCACGUCCAUGUGCGAGAAGAACGGUCAGACCCCUCCGUCGAUGCCAGUCAUUGCUCCGGCGGACACGCAUAACUCCCGACAAGCAUCGACGUCUGCCAUUGGCGGGAGCAAGAACCCCGAUCCUUCACCUAUGGGUUGACGAUUUGCUUCAGAUCACGGAAGCUUGGGUUGAUGGAGUGCUUGUCUUUAGUUUUUGUUUUGACUUUGUGAAACUUGCUACCUAUGAUGAAACUGUGUAAUAUUGAUGAAACUAUGUAUAUGUAUGGAUGAAACUUGCUACUAUUGGUAAUAUGUGUUGGAUAUGUGUUGGAUA